UACGGAGGGUGCAAGCGUUAUCCGGAUUUACUGGGUGUAAAGGGUGCGCAGGCGGAUAUGUAAGUCAGUGGUGAAAUCUCUAGGCUUAACCUGGAAAUUGCCGUUGAUACUAUAUAUCUUGAAUGCUGUGGAGGUAAGCGGAAUAUGUCAUGUAGCGGUGAAAUGCUUAGAUAUGACAUAGAACACCGAUAGCGAAGGCAGCUUACUACAGGAUGAUUGACGCUGAGGCACGAAAGCGUGGGGAGCAAACAGG
rnacentral:rRNA from 1 species